GAUGAACGCUGGCGGCGUGCCUAAUACAUGCAAGUCGAGCGAACGGACGAGAAGCUUGCUUCUCUGAUGUUAGCGGCGGACGGGUGAGUAACACGUGGAUAACCUACCUAUAAGACUGGGAUAACUUCGGGAAACCGGAGCUAAUACCGGAUAAUAUUUUGAACCGCAUGGUUCAAAAGUGAAAGACGGUCUUGCUGUCACUUAUAGAUGGAUCCGCGCUGCAUUAGCUAGUUGGCAAGGUAACGGCUUACCAAGGCAACGAUGCAUAGCCGACCUGAGAGGGUGAUCGGCCACACUGGAACUGAGACACGGUCCAGACUCCUACGGGAGGCAGCAGUAGGGAAUCUUCCGCAAUGGGCGAAAGCCUGACGGAGCAACGCCGCGUGAGUGAUGAAGGUCUUCGGAUCGUAAAACUCUGUUAUUAGGGAAGAACAUAUGUGUAAGUAACUGUGAACAUCUUGACGGUACCUAAUCAGAAAGCCACGGCUAACUACGUG
rnacentral:rRNA from 1 species